AAUCCAUAGGUUAAUGAGGCGAACCGGGGGAACUGAAACAUCUAAGUACCCCGAGGAAAAGAAAUCAACCGAGAUUCCCCCAGUAGCGGCGAGCGAACGGGGAGGAGCCCAGAGCCUGAAUCAGCAUGUGUGUUAGUGGAAGCGUCUGGAAAGGCGCGCGAUACAGGGUGACAGCCCCGUACACAAAAGCGCAUGUGCUGUGAGCUCGAUGAGUAGGGCGGGACACGUGGUAUCCUGUCUGAAUAUGGGGGGACCAUCCUCCAAGGCUAAAUACUCCUGACUGACCGAUAGUGAACCAGUACCGUGAGGGAAAGGCGAAAAGAACCCCGGCGAGGGGAGUGAAAAAGAACCUGAAACCGUGUACGUACAAGCAGUGGGAGCACCCUUUGGGUGUGACUGCGUACCUUUUGUAUAAUGGGUCAGCGACUUAUAUUCUGUAGCAAGGUUAACCGAAUAGGGGAGCCGGAGGGAAACCGAGUCUUAACCGGGCGUUAAGUUGCAGG
rnacentral:rRNA from 1 species